rnacentral:rRNA from 1 species
GACGAACGCUGGCGGCGUGCUUAACACAUGCAAGUCGAACGAUGAAGCCGGAGCUUGCUCUGGUGAAUUAGUGGCGAACGGGUGAGUAACACGUGAGUAACCUGCCCUUGACUCUGGGAUAACUGCUAGAAAUGGUAGCUAAUACCGGAUACGACCCUCGGAGGCAUCUCCAGGGGGUGGAAAGAAUUUCGGUCAAGGAUGGACUCGCGGCCUAUCAGCUAGUUGGUGAGGUAAUGGCUCACCAAGGCGAUGACGGGUAGCCGGCCUGAGAGGGUGACCGGCCACACUGGGACUGAGACACGGCCCAGACUCCUACGGGAGGCAGCAGUCGGGAAUAUUGCUCAAUGGGCGCAAGCCUGAUGCAGCAACGCCGCGUGAGGGAUGACGGCCUUCGGGUUGUAAACCUCUUUUAGUAGGGAAGAAGCGAAAGUGACGGUACCUGCAGAAAAAGCACCGGCUAACUACGUGCCAGCCGCCGCGGUAA